UACGAAGGGGGCAAGCGUUGUUCGGAAUUACUGGGCGUAAAGCGCGCGUAGGCGGCUUUGUAAGUUAGAGGUGAAAGCCCGGGGCUCAACCCCGGAAUUGCCUUUAAGACUGCAUCGCUUGAAUCCGGGAGAGGUGAGUGGAAUUCCGAGUGUAGAGGUGAAAUUCGUAGAUAUUCGGAAGAACACCAGUGGCGAAGGCGGCUCACUGGACCGGCAUUGACGCUGAGGUGCGAAAGCGUGGGGAGCAAACGGG
rnacentral:rRNA from 1 species